rnacentral:rRNA from 1 species
GACCAGACUCCUACGGGAGGCAGCAGUGAGGAAUAUUGGUCAAUGGCCGCAGGGCUGAACCAGCCAAGUCGCGUGAGGGAUGACGGUCCUAUGGAUUGUAAACCUCUUUUGUCAGGGAGCAAAGGGCGCCACGUGUGGCGUUUUGCGAGUGCCUGAAGAAAAAGCAUCGGCUAACUCCGUGCCAGCAGCCGCGGUAAUACGGAGGAUGCGAGCGUUAUCCGGAUUUAUUGGGUUUAAAGGGUGCGCAGGCGGAAUGUCAAGUCAGCGGUAAAAUUUCGGGGCUCACCCCCGGCGAGCCGUUGAAGCUGGCGGGCUGGAGUUGGAGAGAAGUACGCGGAAUGCGCGGUGUAGCGGUGAAAUGCUUAGAUAUCGCGCAGAACCCCGAUUGCGAAGGCAGCGUACCGGCUCCACACUGACGCUGAGGCACGAAAGCGUGGGUAUCGAACAGGAUUAGAUACCCUCGUA